rnacentral:misc_RNA from 1 species
UUACAACUAUAUAAGUUCAAUGACGAUUGUUAAAAUUUACCCUAUUAAUUGACAAUCACUAACAGUGCAACAACACUGGAGACCUUUUUUGUCCAUUAAUUGUAAUUCAUCUUUAUAGAAGAUUUUAGCUUGGUCAUUGGAUACCUCAUGAGAGAUAGCCUGAGCUGGUUUGGUAGCCCAAAUAUGGAGUUUAAGGUUUCAAGCUACAUCAUUUGUCCCUCUUUAUCCAAUAGUGUUCCAAGUGCAUUACCCCAAUGUUUUGUAGCAUUGUGUUGCAGUUCCAUGUUCAGUUGCAAAAAUAGUUAACCAAAGAAGGGUAUACUUUUGGAGAAGCUAUUUUGCGGCACAUCUUUUUCUAAAGGUGUAGUGUAGGGCUAUUCAUAUUAGAAAGGCAGUUAGGCACUUGAGGCAAUUGUUUGCCUUUUCUUUGGUUCAUAAGAAGUUGUUCUGUUGUUGCGUCAAGAGGUCCUAAAAGAAGAUUCUUGAUUGCAGAUGCUCGUUCUUUUGCAUUAGAAAGACCAUUAUGAAUUGUAAACCAUAAUAAGCGGUCUCUGAUAUGGUUGGUUUUUGAAAUACAUAGAAAAUUUUGAAUUUAAUCAGUGUUCCCAUGCAUUUAUUCUUAUGGUGUCUCUCUUUGUAUCACUUCUCCAGUUUCAUUUCUUUCCUAUAAUGAAUUGUGCUCUUGUGUUCAUCUAAUAACUUCUAAUACUUUCAUACGGUGCCCCCCUAUACAUCU